rnacentral:rRNA from 1 species
UAAGAUAUUAUAAAUUAGGUAGUAGUGAUGUAUCCGAAACCUAAAGAACUUGGCGGUAUUUUAAAUGAUCGGAGGAACCUGUCAUAUAAUUGAAAGUCCACAACGUAUCUUACCUAAUUUUUGUUUGUAUACCGUUGUUCAGGCAGUAUUUAAAAAUAUAGUCAAGAUUAAUUUAAUUUCAUAAAUCAAAUCAAGGUGCAGCAUAAUUGGGGAAUGAUGGGUUACAAUAUAUUUUAUGUAUUACGGAGGUAAUGUGAAAGGUACCCAGAAGGAGGAUUCGAAAGUAAUAAAAUAUUAAAAAGUUUUUAAGAAUGAUUACUUAAAAUAUGC